UACUUUUACCAUCAUCGUAAUGCGGUAGAUGUGAGGCGUGUGUUGAAGGAGGCCUAUCGACUAAUGGAAGCCACACCAGAGGACAUCCAUCCCCGGGGGUCACUGGAAGAUUUCAAGCCCCUGACUGUGGGACAGUACCCUGUGUUUAACAAGUAUCCCAAGUUCAUCGUGGAUUAUCAAGUCCAGGAGAGGGAGAGGAUCAGACAGGAGGAGCUGGAUUACAUGAGACAGAGACAAGUUUCGCUGGAGAUGCAGAAGGAGACGGCGAGGAAGCAGCAGGAGGAGGAGGCGUGGUACAGACAGCAGCAGCUCCUGCUGGACGCGGAGGAGAAGAGGCGCCGCAUGAUCCAGACCGAGGAACAGAAACUGGUCGACCAGCGAAAGAGGUUGUAUGCAAUGAACAGAGAGGUUAAACUAAAGGAGCUCCAAUUAUUGGAUGCUGCCCGCCGAAAGUUCCUCCACUUCCAGAAACAGCAGAGGGAGGCAGAGCUAAGACGUCUAGAUGACGAAGUGCAGCGAAAAGCUUUAAUGAGAGACCAGGAAACAGAGACUGCUCUAGAGGAAGCAGAAAUAAGGAACCUAGAACUUGAGCUUCAGAAGAAAAUGUUCGAACAGGAGCUGUUCAGGGACUUUGCCACGGCUGGCCAGCAGCUUAGAACAGAACAAGACAUGCACAGGAAGCAGGCGGAACUAGAGGAGCGCAUCCAGCAGAGGCUUAGGGAUGCAGAACGAGAACGACAGGUGGAAAUCCGAAAGCAACUACAAGAGAACUUGGCAAAGGCAGCACAACAGAACAUUGAAGCUUGGGCUCAAAAUGAAUUUGAAUACAGGAGGAGAGUGGAGGAUUUAGAGAGGGAGACUAAGGGUGUUCAGCUGGCAAAGACAAGCAGUGAAAAUCGACAGCUUGAGAGGGAGGUCCAUGAUCUGAUGAUGCAGUGUCAGGAAAAAAGGGAAAAAGAUGUGGAGGAUAAACAGGAGGAAUUAGGAGAACAGAAACAUCUAGCUGCCCAAGCAGACAGACGUCGGCUGGAGUUCGUGGAGGAUGAGGCCAGGAUUGCUCAGGAACACGGCAAAUCAAUGACGGAGGAUGCACUGUACGCCAGCAGAAAACAAAGGCUUGGUCAGUCCUAUCUCAACAACACCACUCAGUCUUCAGCGUGGAACACACUUCAGACAUCAACAGACCCCGAGUCAUCUGUGUCCCUAGAGAGAAGCAGUAGAACGUUUGACAAACAGGAACUAGCUCUGCUUAACGAAGUCCGGCGCCUCCGGCAGAAACUGGCUAUUGAAAAUAGGAACAAGAAACCACCUGUUAACUAUGAUUCUACAUAACAAUGUGCUCACUGGGAUGUUACAAAACUAGUUCCUGAAUGCAUUUGAGUUAGAUUUGAAGUAACAGAAUUUGAGAUUGGGUAUCUGUAGUUGCUUAAUCUAUCUGUGAUAUUUGUGUAAUUGAUAUUUUUUAUUAUUUGCAUGUGCAUGUACUUGUAUAUUUAUUAAAUAGAUAAAAAG
rnacentral:misc_RNA from 1 species